GGAACGGUCUGGAAAGGCCGGCGCGACGGGUGACAGCCCCGUACGGGACGAUCGAACGUCAGGACUCGAGUAGGGCGGGACACGUGAAAUCCUGUCUGAACAUGGGGGGACCACCCUCCAAGCCUAAAUACUCGUACAUGACCGAUAGCGAACACAGUACCGUGAGGGAAAGGUGAAAAGCACCCCGAUGAGGGGAGUGAAACAGUACCUGAAACCGGAUGCUUACAAGCAGUUGGAGCCUCUUUAGGGGGUGACAGCGUACCUCUUGCAUAAUGGGUCAGUGACUUAAUGUACCAUGCGAGCUUAAGCCGUUAGGUGUAGGCGCAGCGAAAGCGAGUCUGAAUAGGGCGACUGAG
rnacentral:rRNA from 15 species